rnacentral:tRNA from 1 species
GCGCCCGUAGCUCAGCUGGAUAGAGCGGCGGCCUUCGAAGCCGUAGGUCGCAGGUUCGACUCCUGCCGGGCGCGCCA